rnacentral:rRNA from 1 species
AUACAUCGGAACAUGUCCUGUAGUGGGGGAUAGCCCGGCGAAAGCCGGAUUAAUACCGCAUACGAUCUGAGGAUGAAAGCGGGGGACCUUCGGGCCUCGCGCUAUAGGGUUGGCCGAUGGCUGAUUAGCUAGUUGGUGGGGUAAAGGCCUACCAAGGCGACGAUCAGUAGCUGGUCUGAGAGGACGACCAGCCACACUGGGACUGAGACACGGCCCAGACUCCUACGGGAGGCAGCAGUGGGGAAUUUUGGACAAUGGGCGAAAGCCUGAUCCAGCAAUGCCGCGUGUGUGAAGAAGGCCUUCGGGUUGUAAAGCACUUUUGUCCGGAAAGAAAUCCUUGGUUCUAAUAUAGCCGGGGGAUGACGGUACCGGAAGAAUAAGCACCGGCUAACUACGUGCCAGCAGCCGCGGUAAUACGUAGGGUGCAAGCGUUAAUCGGAAUUACUGGGCGUAAAGCGUGCGCAGGCGGUUUGCUAAGACCGAUGUGAAAUCCCCGGGCUCAACCUGGGAACUGCAUUGGUGNNUGGCAGGCUAGAGUAUGGCAGANGGGGGUAGAAUUCCACGUGUAGCAGUGAAAUGCGUANAGAUGUGGAGGAAUACCGAUGGNNAAGGCAGCCCCC